rnacentral:rRNA from 1 species
CCUACGGGAGGCAGCAGUGAGGAAUAUUGGUCAAUGGGCGCAAGCCUGAACCAGCCAAGUCGCGUGAAGGAUGACUGCCCUACGGGUUGUAAACUUCUUUUAUAGGGGAGUAAAGUGCGGCACGUGUGCCUUUUUGUAUGUACUUUAUAAAUAAGGCUCGGCUAACUCCGUGCCAGCCGCCGCGGUAAUACGGAGGAUCCGAGCGUUAUCCGGAGUUAUUGGGUUUAAAGGGAGCGUAGAUGGGUUGGUAAGUCAGGUGUGAAAGUGUGCGGCUCAACCGUAAAAUUGCAAUUGAUACUGGAAGUCUUGAGUGCAGUGGAGGUAGGCGGAAUGCGUGGUGUAGCGGUGAAAUGCUUAGAUAUCACGAAGAACCCCGAUUGCGAAGGCAGCUUACUAAACUGCAACUGACACUGAGGCUCGAAAGUGUGGGUAUCAAACAGGAUUAGAUACCCCAGUAGUC